rnacentral:lncRNA from 1 species
AACCACGUCUACUUCCCAAUUACAUAUCAACAAUUUAUCAAUUAGCUAUACAUUUUUGCGUAAAAUGAAAGAAAUACAAACCCAUGGCAGAACCAUCUUUAAUUCUCCUUUCCGGCCACCCCAUGAUCUAUUGAUCUCCGAAUUACCACUCGAGUCUCCUGCCCGGGACUCGCAUCACAGUGGACGAGAGGCACAUCAUUAGCAUCGUCGGAGUCAUCUUGGGUUUCAAUAUUGACGCAAGAGAAGCGCUCUAGAGACAUGAAAAACAACGCAGCAACGCCAUUUACGACGCGCUUUUUGCAUGCAGGCACACAAGUGGUGCACGGUGUCCGGGCCUUGGGCUCGAUCAACCUCUCUCUCUCGUUGCCAAUAAUGCCGCUGUAACUCUUCGAAGUAUUCGCCCCAUCCAUGAAUUAACUAGACGGGAAGGCUGAUCUUGGCCACAGAAAAACUAAAGUUAAAAAGAGUAUAGGCUUCUCUUACUUAGGAAAUCCCAAUAAAUGAUGCCAAAAAAACAAAAAAAAACCAAGGAAGAUUCUGACUUCUGACUAG